UCUUACAUUUAUCAUAAUUUAGUAGAAUUUGCAUCUUAACCCUUUUACCGACAUGGAUUUCACCUUUUUUCUAGAUAAUUAUCAUUCUACGAAACACAUCCUUUGAGAAUAAACUUUACAUAGACACCUCUCUGCUAAUUAGCCAUAGCCCAUCUCUUUAUUUUGGCUCUGUAAAUUGCAAUCUCUCUCUCUCUCUCUCUCUCUCUCUAUCUCUCAGUGAGGAUGAAGCUCUUAAUGCGUAUAUUUUUAGCUGUUCUCCUUGUGACGAUGCUUUUCCAGCCUUCAGAGAUGAGUAGCACAUGCAGGAAAGUGAGCAAGGUGUAUAAAGCAUUUUGCCCAGGGGAUAGGGUCUGCAAUGAUACUUGCAAGCAAGAGGGCCUUAAUUCUGGUUUUUGCCAACUAGUCCCUAAACAUCAAGUUUGCAUGUGCUUUUAUUCUUGCCAUUAAAUAGAGAAAGCCUGCCCGUGCCUGCGUGUAUGGAAGAAUUUUAUAGAAUGAUACACAGAUAUGAGAUAAAUAGAUGACUUAUCUUUUUAUUUUAUAUCGUUGUCUCAUUUUUUUGAAUUUUUUCUGUAUUUUUAGCACAACUAUCCUAAAUAAGAGCUUCUCUUGUCAUUAGAAUGUCUUUAUAUCAGUGUGAUACAAUAAAACUUUUUCAUACAACCUUUUGGAUAACAUGUGAAAAAAUAGAUUAUGAUCCUGUCAAUUUCA